rnacentral:lncRNA from 1 species
UUAUCAUAUUAAAUAGAUUGAACAAAAACAUAAAAAAAUUAAGAAAAGAAAUUAGAAAAGGAUUGUCUUCUCCCACCCCACCCCACCCCCACCAUCUUUGUCCCUAAACCCUUCAGCUUCUACUAUCUCUUCACACUCCGUUGAACAAGGUUGAUGUCAUCUCAUAUCCUUCAAUUUGCUUAUCACAUCCAUGCUUGAAAAGUUGAGUUGGAGUGAAUGUAUUCCCACUCUUGAUGUCGACAACGUCCCUUUUUUUGGAAGCCUCAUCGGACUGAUUACUCCAUAUGGGACCUUUUGGUGUUUCUUUAUGUGUUGAAUCUACUACCUUUUUUUUUGCUCCUUGACUGCAACUAUUGACAAUUUGCGAGUAUGGUUAGCGGAGACAUGGGUGUCUUCUAUCGUAUUUUUGUACCUAUUUGAGCCCAUGGUUGAACAACUAGGAGUUAUUGUCACACUGAGUUUCGGAAAUGAAAUGGAGGAAGAAAUAUGGCUUGUUAUGAAAGAUUUCUUAGUUGUUAAGGUGAUUAUCACUUUGUAUGGUAGGGAUUAAAUAACAAUGAUAGAAUCCUAAAAUAGCAAAAUUGCAGGUUUUGAGAAUGAAUUUUCGGUCAUAAAAUAAGAAGAAAUCACGAGUAUAAAUGAAUAAGACGAUCUUGGAAUGAAAUAGGAUUUCUUAGAAUACAUUUUUGAGGUUUUCUUGAUUUCUGCUGAAACGAAGAAUGCUUCAAUUGGGGAUUUAGGGAGUGAUUUAGGGUUGUGGUGGGUUACCAAGGGGUGGUGCUGGUGGCUGGUUUAGGGACAAAGAUGGUGGGGGUGGUGUGGGGAGAUUGAAGAAGACGACCCUUUUUUAAUUUCUUUUCAUAAUUUUUUUUUUGAUUUUUUUGUUCAAUUUAUUUAUCCCUUGUUUGAGCUUCAUUUUUGUCAAGAAAAUACAUUUUUAAAUAGUGUAAUGAUGUGAAAUGUGUGGUUAAAAAAUAAGGAAAAAUUUUAGAUUUUCAUGUAAUAUUAUUUUAUUGAAGAAUGUGUGGUUGAAAUGAUA